CUCCCUGGCUUCCAUGUACCUUAGCAUAGUUUCCAGGAGAAUCUGUUCCAUGAUCUUCCCCAUCACAGAGGUGACAGAAGCAUACAUCCGAACACCCAAACUGACCUUCUGUGGAUGAGAUAUUCCCCUAACUUUCAUUGAUAUCCCCACUGGUUUUUAAACUCACCCAUGUAAGUUGGAUUAUUUGACCCGAGAUACUCUUUCAGAGUUGAUUGUGUCAGUUAUUAGAGGUUGCCAGUCCUUGGGUCUGGAGUGGUGGGGAGUUGUGAGAAGCCAUUUGGUGACUGUCAACAUCACUAUGUUAUUCCUGUCUAUCCCUAUGUAUUGGAUUGGUUCCAAUUGGACCUUAACCAAAAUUAAACGAAAUAUGUGCUUAGGCUCUUUGGUGUUUCUAAAAUCCACUUUUUUUUCUCAUGCUUUAUUCCAACCACUAAAUAAACAUUCCUUCUUUUG
ensembl:lncRNA